CAAAGUCCAUCUUUCUUAGUCACCCGUUUUUUACAGAAGCGGAUUAUCCAAUUCUCCACACUUCUUCCAUGAUUCCACCAGAAAACCAUGCUUUCAGGCAGUCAUUCCCUGGAGCCAACAUCACACGAGAAGAAAAUUAAAGGUUGACUAUUAAGCGCAAGGUGCUGAGUGCUGAAGGUGGUGGUGUCUGUGUCCCCGGUGGUGGUGUCUCCCUCCUGUGUGCUGUGUUUUCCCCCUUGGUUUAUUUUGAGUUCUUCACCACUGUGUGAGUGUGUGUGUGUGCACGCUCACGUGUGAUUGGGGUGAUCCUUCCCUGAGACUCCACACCCCUUGACCCUGUCCCUCCACCGUGUCUCCCUGUUACAAACCCGAUCCUUCCUGUAACGGAAAAUAUUGCUUCCAACGCCCCCCAUCAUCUUCUGAAGGCCCCCUGGGGGGCGGUACCGCCCCCGUUGAGAAACACUGCUGUAAUGGAACCGGGUUGAG